GGUCCUGUAGUGAAGUUCAUGGUGAGUUGCAAGCUCAUUGAUGUGCGUUGAUUUCGCACCGGGGCCU
rnacentral:tRNA from 1 species